AAGAUACUAGUAAAACGAUUAUUACAUCGCCUUGUCAAGGCGAAAAUGUGAGUUAAAAUCUCACGUAUCUUG
rnacentral:tRNA from 1 species